ACAGAGAAAUUUGUGCUAAUACCGUAUACGUCCCUUUUGGGAAGAAAGGAUUUAGUCGGAGAUGGAUGAGCCCGCGUUGGAUUAGGCUAGUUGGUGAGGUAACGGGCCCACCAAGGCACGAUCCAUAGCCUGGUCUGAGAGGAUGAUCAGCCACACUGGGACUGAGACACGGCCCAG
rnacentral:rRNA from 1 species